UACGUAGGGUGCGAGCGUUGUCCGGAAUUAUUGGGCGUAAAGGGCUCGUAGGCGGUCUGUCGCGUCGGGAGUGAAAACUCAGGGCUUAACCCUGAGCCUGCUUCCGAUACGGGCAGACUAGAGGUAUGCAGGGGAGAACGGAAUUCCUGGUGUAGCGGUGAAAUGCGCAGAUAUCAGGAAGAACACCCGUGGCUAAGGCGGCUCGCUGGGACGUAACUGACGCUGAGACGCGAAAGCGUGGGGAGCAAACAGG
rnacentral:rRNA from 1 species